UACGUAGGGUGCAAGCGUUACUCGGAAUUACUGGGCGUAAAGCGUGCGCAGGCGGCUUUGCAAGACAGAUGUGAAAUCCCCGGGCUUAACCUGGGAACUGCAUUUGUGACUGCAUGGCUGGAGUGCGGCAGAGGGGGAUGGAAUUCCGCGUGUAGCAGUGAAAUGCGUAGAUAUGCGGAGGAACACCGAUGACGAAGGCAAUCCCCUGGGCCUGCACUGACGCUCAUGCACGAAAGCGUGGGGAGCAAACAGG
rnacentral:rRNA from 1 species